rnacentral:rRNA from 1 species
CUCAUAGCGUAUAUUAAGUUGUUGCAGUUAAAACGCUCGUAGUCGGAUUUCGGGGCGGGCUGCUCGGUCUGCCGAUGGGUAUGCACUGGGUGGCGCGUCCUUCCUUCCGGAGACCGCGCCUUCUCUUAACUGAGCGGGCGCGGGAGACGGAACGUUUACUUUGAAAAAAUCAGAGUGUUUCAAGCAGGCAUCUCGCUCUUGCAUGGAUUAGCAUGGGAUAAUGAAAUAGGACUUUGGUGCUAUUUUGUUGGUUUCGAACACCGAAGUAAUGAUUAACAGGGACAGUCAGGGGCACUCGUAUUCCGUCGAGAGAGGUGAAAUUCUCAGACCAACGGAAGACGAACCACUGCGAAAGCAUUUGCCAGGGAUGUUUUCACUGAUCAAGAACGAAAGUUAGGGGAUCGAAGACGAUCAGAUACCGUCGUAGUCUUAACCAUAAACCAUGCCGACUAGGGAUUCGAGGGUGUUCUAUCUGUGACCCCUUGAGCACCUUUCGGGAAACUAAAGUCUUUGGGUUCCGGGGGGAGUAUGGUCGCAAGGCUGAAACUUAAAGGAAUUGACGGAAGGGCACCACCAGGAGUGGAGCCUGCGGCUUAAUUUGACUCAACACGGGGAAACUUACCAGGUCCAGACAUUGUGAGGAUUGACAGAUUGAGAGCUCUUUCUUGAUUCAAUGGGUGGUGGUGCAUGGCCGUUCUUAGUUGGUGGAGUGAUUUGUCUGGUUAAUUCCGUUAACGAACGAGAC